CAGUGAACUUCUCGUUUCACUGAAACAGAAAGAUGAUGAGAAGACCACAUACUGGAGCUGCUCUACCCAGCCAACAGGGAUGGAUGAUAUGUAUCUUAUUUCUUAUGGUCGGAUGUGAAUCAACGUGAAAAAGAAGAACAAUUCUCAUCCUGCUGAAGAAUUUUAACAAGGAUUUGCCGAUCUCGAUCGAGUGUGUGGACAAUGCAGCUGGAUGUCCUGGCGUCGUCAUUUAUGCCGAUCAAACAUUUCCCAUUUCUUCGGAUCAGGAUGCUGCACAUGAGACGGCCAGUGGUGACGGACAAGGCCCUGACAGUUCUGUGACAGUUUUCCAAUUAGACUGUUACGAGGACUACAUCGUGAUGUUGGAGGAUCCUCCUGAGAUCGGCACUGAUUCAGACACCAGUCUUGACGAGGUCGAUGAGGACGAAUAACUAUGGAAAAAACAGACAUCAACAUCAAUGUUGUUCAUUUGAAUGGACACUAUAGCAUUAAAGUAAUUGUUUAAGCCGUUAACUCAACAUAUAUACAUAUUUGAGAUUUAAUACGGAUAUAACAGGUCCAAAAAUUACCCUGUAAAACUAAGCUGCAACAACAAAUACAUACUAAAGGAAAUGUAACUGUGACCAGGGGUGAAGUUGAACAGUCCAGUUUGCGUAGGAAUGUUUCCAACUAAGUGAAAUGACCCGGAUGUAUUUAAAAGGAUGAUAGGCCAUACUUGCACCUGGGCAGACCCACGUAAAUAUAAAGAAAACAGGACAGCUGCUUUAUUCCAAUGACACGAUAGAGAACUGAUGUAAAUCCUCACAUGACCGUCUAAGCUCCGGAUGUCUUCUCUGACCUGUCAGGACUCUCAGUGAACAGCAAACACGUUGAACUUGAAAUGUCGAACAAGAAAUCCACACUGGAAUAUAUCGAAGUGUCAAACGCACUAGAAAACUCUAUAUCCCUACAUCAUGUAUGAAUAUGAUUUUGGUCUCUCGCUAUUUAAAAUAAACAGUUGAAUAUUU